AAUCUCAAUCCCCCCAGGUUUAUGAUCUGGGUUGGGACUUGGACUUGGGCGCUGCCGGUUACAUGGCUCGCCUCAAAUGACUUGGUGGAUCUCUCUGCAUCCGUGACAGACGUAAUAAGUUUCGUCUUGUCCCUUGCUGUCUGAGUCUGCUCCUAACCUGCCAUUGCGCACUUUUAGA
rnacentral:misc_RNA from 1 species